ensembl:lncRNA
CCUGUACUAAUAAGGAAGAGGAACGUUGAAACGUGUCACCUGUUCAGUGGCAACCCGUCAUUCAGGGCAGGUUGGGCAGAGCCCCACCUGUUUUUCAUGUUAUUUUUGCAUUAACACGUGUCACAUAUCAGUUUGCAAACAAUGUAAAAACAAUCAUUGAGUUAACAAAGCCGCAUAAAAACGUAUUUAUUUAUUUUUGCUUUCUUUUGUAAGGCAGUUCUAAAAUGCAGGUGUUUCAGCUUUGCUCAGUGUUCUGUCACUCAUGGGGACAACAUGUGAGAGCAAAAUCUAUGGGUAGAGCUAAAAACAUUCAAUCCCCUUGGGUGCUGCCAUAGAUUCAUUGUUUUUCUUGGAAAACCCUUCUCAUCCCUUUACCAAUAACUUGACUGUAGUCAGUGAUAACAGGAUGUUUUUCACUACUGCCCUCCAAACAGCUUUCUUAACAAAAAUACCAGCUAAAUAUAGUCACAUCUAUGUCCUUAGAUGCGGGCUCCGCUAGAUAUGUAGUUACUACACAUCCAACCAAUAGUUCAUUUGUCAGCAUCACGGUGUAAAAACACAAAACAACUCAUGGUGAAACUGAUGUGUAGGCCUCUGAUUACUUUCUAAACAAAUGAAUUAUAGGUCAACAUUCCAAGGCCUAUAAUAACUUAUUAUAAAAUAUGUAAUAAAUGUCAAAUAAAUAGGCCCUACCACACAAUUAUUGUAUUUUUUAGAUGAAUGACUGACAAAUGUGAUUAAUAAAAUAUGUAAACCACUACUUUGAGUUAGAAACAUAACUUUGCUAUGCAGCACCUUAUAAAGGGCUGGAGUGACCACACACUUUUGGCAAACCAAGAACUCCACCAAAUGUAACUGCACUAAACUGCACUCAAAGCUCAUCUACAGGUAACAGACAAAAGGAAAUACUUGAGUAAAUGAGGGAUACAAAGUAUAUUGAAAGCAAGGCUUCCACGCAGGUGUGGUUCCUGAGUUAAUUAAGCAAUUAAUACAUCCCAUCAUGCUUAGGGUCAAGCAGGAUAGCCUAGUGGUUAGAGCAUUGGACUAGUAACCGGAAGGCAGUUAACCCACUGUUCCUAGGCAGUCAUUGAAAAUAAGAAUUUGUUCUUAACUGACUUGCCUAGUUAAAUAAAUUAAAAAUUUUAAAAACACAUGCCCAGUUGACCAUUAUUUUGUCUAGAAAAAGAGAUCUCAGUGACUUUGAAAGAGGAGUCUCAAAAGGAGCUUAGGGGGUUUAAAGGGUUG